rnacentral:sRNA from 1 species
GAAGCGAACCAAGUCCUACAAUGAUAUGCAAAAUGCUGGCAUAGUCCAUGCGGAGAACGAGGAGGAGGAUGACGUUCCUGAAAUGAACAGCAGCUUUACAGCCGGUUCUGGUGAACAAGACGAGCACACUCUCCAAGAAACAGCAUUACCACCUGUGAAUAGUAGCAUCAUUGCUGCUCCCAUCACGGACCCUUCUCAGAAGUUCCCUCAAUACCUACCUCUUUCUGCAGAGGAUAAUUUAGGUCCUCUACCUGAAAACUGGGAGAUGGCCUAUACCGAAAAUGGAGAAGUCUAUUUUAUAGAGUAAAGUAUACCAUUAUUUCUACCUAAAUCUCUCUCUCUUUCUUUUCCCUUCCUUCCCUCUGUCUAGCAGCUGCCAACGUAAAUUACGUUUAAGGGAUUGAUCACCCACUGAUGGUAUUUUUUAAUAAGGUUUAAUAAGUUUUGCAUAAAAAGGUAAUUAAUUAUUAUCUACUUAUUGAUUUUCAACAGUUUGAGGAAGCAUUAGGUUAAUCAUUUCCCUAAAGGUUUAGACAACUAAAUUAUGGUAUAUAGAAAUUAUGACAUAAUAUUUAAAGAGCAUAUUUAACCAUUAAAAAUAGUAAAUAUAUUGCUUUUUUUCUUAAUUGAACUACAGUGUCCUUAUUGUUUUAAGACUUCUUCAUAUAUUCUAGAUACAAUUCUUUUAUCAUAUAUGUGAUUUGUAUGUAUUUUCUCCAAGUCCAGCUUUUCUGUUCAUUGUCUC